GUUGCCCUCCCAUCAUGCCAUCUUCCCCAAUUAUCUAUUAACAUCCAGGGCUGUGCAUAUGCUCUCAGAGGUUCUCUCGCAGCUUCUAGGAAAGGCGUACAAGCACACAGCGGGGCUCUGGGAACACAGUAAUGUAGGCUACUGCAAACUACCCUGGAUAAAUCUAGAACACGGAUCACUGACAGGCAGUGAAUAACUGGCCCUUUGUCGCAAGGAAAACAUUUCUGAAAAGUCUUUAAAAAAAACGAAGAUAAUCACAAAGUGGAGGAAGUAAAAAAGUGGUGGUCGCUUAGAGACUUAUAGGAGACCAGUUUCCCAUCUUGGACAGGUACCAAAAUAAGAACCCCAACCUUGACUGUGAAGGACAGCUUGGUCAGGAAGGAUUUGUAUACUAUACUGUAUAAAACUGUAUGAGCAAAAGAGACAAAAACAGAAAAACAACUGUACUGUAGAUUAUAAGGAUAUUCAAAUUCACAUUUUCCAUGACAUAUAAAAGGCAUGAUACCCAACUCGAA